GUUUCGUUGAUAUCCUAUUCGAUGUGCGGUAAAAAGUUAGUUUUCGCAAACGUAGCAAUUCCGACUGACUUCGACACGACAGGGAUGAUUUGCGGCAUAAUUUGGCCGAUGUCGAAACACUGGCUUCCGAAGGACUGGGACGAUGUGCGCUGCGUCAUCGAAUCCCUGCCGGAGGAAAUUCAACGAGUGGGAAAAUUGCGAUUGGUUGCGUACCGAAGCAACUGCAGCAAGGAAUUCUUCUUCUGCUCCACCGACACCCCGCGCUCGUUGCGAAAAUCGUUUCUUUUCGAGGAGCUCAAUAAUCUAACACCACUGGCAACAAACAACGGCACGUGCGCCAUUUUUGAUUACAAAAUAAAAAAUAAGAAAGCUGUGGACGUCAAGCUCAG